ACUGAAUAUUGUAUGAUUUUUUUUCAGGAUCAGCUGAGAUGUAAUCAAUCACUGGAUUAUUUAAUGCAUAGGCUAAUUGGGCAUAUAGUUGAAUAUCUCUGUCAUCAACAUGGAAUGUAUGACUUCAUCUUUUAUACAGUCGGGUUCGGGGUUUCGGGCGGCCAUGACGAAUUUCGGCAAGAUUUUACCCCAGUGAAAAAGGCUUGUAAUCCACAGUUCCUCAACCUGGAAGAUAUGUUUUGUUCCUAACCAUCUAUAAUCCAUUCUCUAUGAAGUGAAGCCUGGCUGCUCUUCCUUUGGAAAUACACAGUUAGUCAAUCAACAUAGAAACACACAAACUUGAAGGAUAUUCUAGUGAGGGCUUAUGGAAAUGAUCUAUGUCUACUCUCAGAAUGGUGAAAGACUAUCAGAUUAUGCAAAGACUAACAGGAUAUCCUCUCUUGGAACACUGAAAUAAGAAAAUCAAACAGGAGGUGGAUGGAGGAUUUAAGA